AACGCACCUUGCGCUCCUUGGUAUUCUGAGGAGCAUGCCUGUUUGAGUGUCAUUAAUAUAUAUCAACCUCUACACCUUUUGUUUGUUGAGUUGUUGGAUGUGGGGGCUCUUGCUGGCUUCUCUGAGGUCAGCUCCCCUGAAAUACAUUAGCGGAACGAUCCCCGUUCAUUGGUGUGAUAACUAUCUACGCUAUUGACGUGAAGUAGUUUGGCUUAUAACAGUCCAUUGACUUGGACAAAUUUUCAUUAAUGUGACCUCAAAUCAGGUAGGACUACCCGCUGAACUUAA
rnacentral:misc_RNA from 1 species